rnacentral:lncRNA from 1 species
UGGCGACGGUGUAGUAGCCGGAGCGAAGGGGGAAGGUGGGUAUGAUGGAGGGAUGGUGGAUGGAUAGGGUGAUAGGGAAGGUGGGGAAGGUGGGGAUGAAGAUGAUGGAGGUUGGGUGACAGGGGAAUUGGAAUUUGGAGUUGGGGCAUAGGGGUAGGGUGAUUGAGAUGUUGGGGAAGGAGUGUUUGGAGGUGACGGAAUGUAGGGAGGUUGGGAAAUGGGAGAAGGAGUGGUGGAUGGUGGUGUGGAAAUGUAAGAAGGUGGCUGGGAUAUUGGGGAAGGAGUGGUGGAUGGUGGUGUGGAAAUGUAAGGUGGCUGGGAUAUUGGGGAAGGAGUGGUGUUUGGAGGUGAUGGGAUGUAAGGAGGCUGAGAUAUUGGGGAAGGAGUGUUUGGAGGUGAUGGGGUGUAAGGAGGCUGGGAAGUAGGAGAAGGAGUAUUGGGUUGUGGAGGCACAUAAGGUGACUGAGAAAAGGGUGAUGGGGUUAUUGGAACAAAGGGUGGUUGAUGAUGAGGGGAAGGGGUGUUUGGAGGUAGAGGAGCAUGGGGUGGAUGGUUAUUAGGGGAAGGAGCAUAAGUGGGAGAAGGUGUGUUGGGAGGUAUGGGAGCAUAGGGUGGUUGAGCUUUGGGAGGAAAGGGAAGAUUAGUAGGAGGUGAAGGUGCUUCUGGAGGAGUAUAAACAGGGGGAGGAGUUUGAUGAGGUGGAUAAGGAGCUUUUGGAGGAGAAUAUGGAGGAGGCUCUCUCACAGCCAACACCACAAUAAUAAGUUUCUGACCCUUCUCACAAUUAUAAUCUUUUCCACUGAUGAAAUAAAAGGGACCCGAACGAUCAAACUGAAACUGGGAGGCACCAUCCUCAAACUUCUUGAUCGGGUUCUUCUUGUUACAUUUCUCAUAAUCCUCUUUGUUCACCACCAAAACCGAGUCCGAUCC